UACGUAGGGGGCAAGCGUUGUCCGGAAUUAUUGGGCGUAAAGCGCGCGCAGGCGGUUGAUUAAGUCUGGUGUAUAACCUUGGGGCUCAACCUCAAGUGGCACUGGAAACUGGUGAACUGGAGUGCAGGAGAGGAAAGUGGAAUUCCACGUGUAGCGGUGAAAUGCGUAGAGAUGUGGAGGAACACCAGUGGCGAAGGCGACUUUCUGGCCUGUAACUGACGCUGAGGCGAGAAAGCGUGGGGAGCAAACAGG
rnacentral:rRNA from 1 species